AGCCAUUCCAGCAUUGCUUUGGCUGUAUGCUUAGGGUCGUUAUCCUGUUGGAACAUAAAUCUUCACCCCCAGUCUAAGGUCGUUUGCACUCUGAAGCAGGUUCUCAUAAAGGAUUUGCAUGUAUUUGGUUCCAUUCAUUGUUCCUCUGUCCUUGCCAGUCUCCCAGUCUCCAUAGCAUGAUGCUCCACCGCCCUGUUUCACGUAAGGGAUGGUGUUAGAUGGGUGAUUAGCUGUGCCUGGUUUUCUCCAGACAGCGCUUUGCAUUCAGGCCAAAGAGUUUAAUUUUGUCUCAUCAGACCACAGAGUCUUUUGCCUUAUGUUCUCAGAGUCGUUCACGUGCCUUUUUCCAAACUCCCGGCAUGCUGUCAUGUGCCUUUUUCUCAGGAGUGGCUUCCAUCUGGCCACUCUCCCAUGAAGCCCAGAUUGAUGAAGUGCUGUAGAGACUGUUGUCCUGCUGUCAGGUUCUCCCAUCUCAGCCAAGGAACUCUGUAGUUCUGUCAGAGUGGUCAUUGGGUUAUUGGUCACCUCCCAAUGUCCUUCUUGCUUGGUUGCUCAGUUUGGUCGGACGGCCAGCUCUAGCAGAGUCUGGGUAGCUCCAUAUUUUUUCAAUUUCCCAAUGAUGGAGACCACUGUGCUCUUGGAAACUCUCAACAUAAAUUGUUUUAUACCCUUCCCCAGAUACUGUAUAUGCCUCAUCACAAUUCUUUUACAGCCAGUUCCUGGGACUUCAUGGUAUAGUUUCUGCUCUGACAUGCACUGUCAACUGUGGGACCUUAUAUGGACAGGUGUGUUUUUUCUAAAUCAUGUCCAAACAAUUGAUUUGACCAUAGGUGAACGCCAAUCAAGUUGUAGUGACAUCUCAAGGAUGAUCAAAGGAAAUCGGAUGCACCUGAGCUCAAUUUGGAGUGUCAUAGAAAAGGGGUCGCAGUUGCAAAUGAGAUCUUGUUCUCAACUAUCCUACCUGGUUAAAUAAAGGUGAAAUAAAAUAAAAAUAAAAAGUCAAGAACAAAGUAAUGGAGCCCGUCAGCAUGGGUGAAUGGGCAACACUCAUCGUACGAAGAAUGGUGGAACCAGGAUAUGUGGAGACUUUAAUUACACAGUUAACCCUGAGCAAUAUCUUCUACAGCAUCAAUGACCUUUUCCCGGGUUUAGCUGGGGGUCAAAGUUCAGCAAAAUCAACCUCUGUCAAGCCUACUUGCAGAUGUAUGUGGAUGACAAGUCAAAGGAGUACAAUGCUACCUGAAUGACAUCCUCGUUACUGGAAAGGAUGAAGAGGACCAUCUCCUGAACUUGGAUGUGACCUUACAGAGACUUAAGGACUAUGGAGUGCGAGUUUGUAAGGACAAAUGUGCAUUUUUCUAAUCAUCGGUUCAAUACCUCGGACACGUCAUCGAUGCCACGGGCCUUCACACGGCUCCGUCCAAGGUCAAGGCUAUCUUGGACGCCCCAGCUCCACAGAACAUGAGCAAACUACCUUUUUUCCUGGGGUUACUGAUUUUCAACGGAUGCUUAGCAACAAAGCUGAAGCCGCUGCAUCAGUUGCUUUGUCAGGACAAAACAUGGAAAUCAACAGAACAAUGUGAGGAAGCAUUUUUGAAAACCAAGGAAACUCCUAAAAUCUGAGCCACUGACGAACUUUGAACCGUCAUUGCCCAUCCAACUACCUUGUGAUGCUAGUCCAUAUGGUGUAGGUGCAGUUGUGUGCGAUAUCAUGCCUUCUGGUGAAGAGAUCGCGACCGCUUUCGCAUCAUGGACAUUGAACAAAGGAGAAAGUAACUAAGCACAGAUGGACUUUCCGUUCUUAGACAUUGUUUUUGUAGUGCGUAAAAUUUGUAAAAAAUGUAUGUAAGAGGGGAAGAGAUGUACAUUAAGGUUAAACCUUUCGCAACUCCUUACUUACCUUAGUUGUAUGAGCAAAGCAUCAUGGAAAUUAUUGUGUAGAUGGUUGAAUUCUUGGGAGAGAGAGUUUUGCUGAUGAAGUACUGGCAAGGAAUCGCAGACCUCACCUACGACCUUCCUCAGUAGCCGAGAUGAUUGGACCCCCACUCUUUCUCCCAGCUCUUCCAACGAUCUGCUCCUGCUCCGUAUCAGACGACCCAGCUUGGUACACCCCACACCUAACAGGCAUGAACGUAGGCUGACUGAACCCAUAGCACAGGACUGGAUGACAGUGUUAUGAAAAAGAGGCUCUUCAUAAAGCCACAUCCCUGGUGGGGUGCCGGCCUUACGGGACAUGUCGAAAACUCUCCAAGCCUGCAUAACAGACUCAUAGAAUGGAGUCAGUCCAGACAAAUCACCCCCCUCUAGCUUUAAGAAGAAAAGGUGCUUGUCUAAGCCCAAACAGCCCACUCUCCUCAUCAAUGUGUAGGCUGAGUCGACCCAGCUAGAACCGUCACUGUACAACAGUCUCUGGGCUGCUUGAAGCCGGAAUGCCAUGAUCCUAGAAGAAAUAUCCACCAGUCCUUGCCAACCCUUGUGGCAGGUACAGGGCUGCAACUUAAUCAAAUGUUGUCCAGACCAGAAAAAAAUUGACAAGGUUCCUCUGAAGCUCUUGUAUCAGACCCCCCAGUGGCUGUAAAAACAUUAGUCUGUGCCAUAGGGUAGAGGCAGCUAGGUUAUUGGAUGCCAGCACCCUUCCCCUACACGUUGGAAAGCAGAUCGAGCAUAGUGGAGUAGAGGACCGACAGAGAGGAGAGGAGACUUGUUUACGCUGCUGUGCGUUUUUGUUGCCGAUCUUACUUUGAUACCUGACGGUUUUUUACUUUUUCAUUACCGUAUAUUUUUACUUUUUCCCUCACUCAACUUUUUUCCUCACUCAACUUUUUUCAUUCAUCCCCGGAGGUUUUAUCUGGACAUGGUUCGUCAGGACUUCAAACAGCCGAAGCUAAGUAACAUUAACAUGAUGCCUUCUAAUUGCAGUCGUUGUACUUAUAAUAUACAGGAGAACGAUCGCCUUACGGCAAGGAUAGCUGUGCUGCAAGCCCAGCUUCAGACGCGAUCGUUAGGCAAGGGUAAUUUCAGUGUAGGAAAGGAUGAAACAGCGUCUGUGCCACCAGUAAGUACAGAUAGUAACGUUAGUAUAAACCCCCUCGCACGGUCCCCGCAGCCGGACAUCUUUCUCAUGGCUUCUGGAGGGAAACGCUGUAGGAAUGCUCAACCGGUGUCGCUUAUUCAGCCGACAGAAACUUUCAACCGGUUCUCCCCAUUAAGCGAGUCGGAGUCGGAGGCCGAGACUUCUCUGGUCUCUACUCCUCCCGUUGUGGGGUCUGAGACGCCGACGGCUCCCACCAUUAGCUCUGACAAAUUGAAAACCCUAGUCAUUGGCGACUCCAUUACCCGCAGUAUUAGACUUAAAACUAAUCAUCCAGCGAUCAUACACUGUUUACCAGGGGGCAGGGCUACCGACGUUAAGGCUAAUCUAAAGACGGUGCUGGCUAAAGCUAAAACUGGCGAGUGUAGAGAGUAUAGAGAUAUUGUUAUCCACGUCGGCACCAACGAUGUUAGGAUGAAACAGUCAGAGGUCACC
rnacentral:lncRNA from 1 species